GAUUUAAAGGGGCUGUGUCCCAGUGCCAUCACGCCGGGGCACAUGACUCUGAAGACUCUGCAGAGAGGAAGAGGCCAGAGGAAAGCUGGGGUGAAACUGGCUGCCAGGUUUUUGGAGAGCAGGGCUGCUCGCUUGGCUCUGCUCUACGAGGGAUCUUUCAUCAGGAAGUCUCAGG